AAAGAAAGAAAAAAGAAAAAAGAAAGAAAGAAAAAUGAAAAUGGCAUGAGCAGAGGUAGCAAUAGCCUAUCUGAACUUUUUUCUUCACUUUGAGCUGCAAGCUGCUUGGUGGGAAUAUAUGGAAAGAUUCACUGUUGACUGCAAAAACACUCAAAUCAAAAGAUAAGCCCUUUCUCUCAUUGCUUUUGAUCAUUUGAUAA
rnacentral:ribozyme from 14 species